GGACAGACAUGAGGUACGCUUUGGAGGGGAGGAGAGACAGGACAGACAUGAGGUACGCUUUGGAGGGGAGGAGAGACAGGACAGACAUGAGGUACGCUUUGGAGAGGAGGAGAGACAGGACAGACAUGAGGUACGCUUUGGAGGGGAGGAGAGACAGGACAGACAUGAGGUACGCUUUGGAGGGGAGACAGGACAGACAUGAGGUACGCUUUGGAGGGGAGACAGGACAGACAUGAGGUACGCUUUGGAGGGGAGGAGAGACAGGACAGACAUGAGGUACGCUUUGGAGGGGAGGAGAGACAGGACAGACAUGAGGUACGCUUUGGAGGGGAGGAGAGACAGGACAGACAUGAGGUACGCUUUGGAGGAGAGACAGGACAGACAUGAGGUACGCUUUGGAGGGGAGGAGAGACAUGGCAGACAUGAGGUACGCUUUGGAGGGGAGGAGAGACAGGACAGACAUGAGGUACGCUUUGGAGGGGAGGAGAGACAGGACAGACAUGAGGUACGCUUUGGAGGGGAGGAGAGACAGGACAGACAUGAGGUACGCUUUGGAGGGGAGGAGAGACAGGACAGACAUGAGGUACGCUUUGGAGGGGAGGAGAGACAGGACAGACAUGAGGUACGCUUUGGAGGGGAGGAGAGACAGGACAGACAUGAGGUACGCUUUGGAGGGGAGGAGAGACAGGACAGACAUGAGGUACGCUUUGGAGGGGAGGAGAGACAGGACAGACAUGAGGUACGCUUUGGAGGGGAGGAGAGACAGGACAGA